rnacentral:rRNA from 1 species
UGGGGAAUAUUGGACAAUGGGCGAAAGCCUGAUCCAGCCAUGCCGCGUGUGUGAAGAAGGUCUUCGGAUUGUAAAGCACUUUAAGUUGGGAGGAAGGGCAUUAACCUAAUACGUUAGUGUUUUGACGUUACCGACAGAAUAAGCACCGGCUAACUCUGUGCCAGCAGCCGCGGUAAUACAGAGGGUGCAAGCGUUAAUCGGAAUUACUGGGCGUAAAGCGCGCGUAGGUGGUUUGUUAAGUUGGAUGUGAAAUCCCCGGGCUCAACCUGGGAACUGCAUUCAAAACUGGCUGACUAGAGUAUGGUAGAGGGUGGUGGAAUUUCCUGUGUAGCGGUGAAAUGCGUAGAUAUAGGAAGGAACACCAGUGGCGAAGGCGACCACCUGGACUAAUACUGACACUGAGGUGCGAAAGCGUGGGGAGCAAACA